rnacentral:tRNA from 2 species
AAGAAAUUAGUUAAAUAAACAUAACAUUAAAAUGUCAAUUUAAAAUAACCCAACAUAGGUAUUUCUUG